ensembl:lncRNA FAM230B family with sequence similarity 230 member B
AGCAGUUGGACCUCACAGUGUGGAUUGUGCCUUCACCCUGGAAUGUUUAUGCCCUAUCGCCAUGGUGAUGGGAUUAGGGAUCUCCUGCCCUUGGUCCUAAGUGCCACUAUCUGUGCUGAGUUUUUCAAAGGUCAGAGCAGAUUGAACCAUUGUGGUUUCAUUUUCCCUGAUUUUGAUUUUUCUUAUGGGGAACCUGUGUGGCUGCAUUCAAGGUGACUCGAAGAAGCCUUCCAAAAAGCAUGUGAAAAGGAAGCCCUACUCUACUACCAAGGUGACUUCAGGGAGCACAUUCAAUGAGAAUACAAGAAGAUAUGCUGUGCACACCAACCAGUGUAGGAGACCUCAUGGCUCCCGGGUAAAGAAGAAGAGGUACCCACAAGAAGAUGACUUCCAUCAUACAGUCUUCAGCAACCUUGAAAGAUUGGACAAGCUUCAGCCCACUCUUGAAGCCUCUGAGGAGUCUCUAGUUCACAAGGACAGAGGAGAUGGAGAGAGGCCAGUCAACGCGAGGGUGGUGCAGGUGGCCCCUCUGAGGCUUGAAUCUACUCCCCAUGAGGACACCGUACACGACAUCACUAACGAGGACGCCACACACGACAUCGCUAACGAGGAUACUGUACACGACAUCGCUAACGAGGCCGCCGACAAGGGCAUCGCCAACGAGGAUGCCGCCCACGGCAUCGCCAACGAGUACGCCGCCCACGGCAUCGCCAGCGAGGACGCCGCCCACGGCAUCGCCAGCGAGGACGCCGCCCAGGGCAUCGCCAGCGAGGACGCCGCCCAGGGCAUCGCCAACGAGGACACCAUCCAGGGCAUCGCCAAGGAGUACGCCGUCCACGGCAUCGCCAACGAGGACGCCGCCCAGGGCAUCGCCAACGAGGACGCCGCCCAGGGCAUCGCCAACGAGGACGCCGCCCAGGGCAUCGCCAAGGAGGACGCCGCCCAGGGCAUCGCCAACGAGGGCGCCGCCCAGGGCAUCGCCAAAGAGGACGCCGCCCAGGGCAUCGCUAACGAGGCCGCCGACAAGGGCAUCGCCAACGAGGAUGCCGCCCACGGCAUCGCCAACGAGGACGCCGCCCACGGCAUCGCCAGCGAGGACGCCGCCCACGGCAUCGCCAGCGAGGACGCCGCCCACGGCAUCGCCAGCGAGGACGCCGCCCAGGGCAUCGCCAACGAGGACGCCAUCCAGGGCAUCGCCAAGGAGUACGCCGUCCACGGCAUCGCCAACGAGGACGCCGCCCAGGGCAUCGCCAACGAGGACGCCGCCCAGGGCAUCGCCAACGAGGACGCCGCCCAGGGCAUCGCCAAGGAGGACGCCGCCCAGGGCAUCGCCAAGGAGGACGCCGCCCAGGGCAUCGCCAACGAGGGCGCCGCCCAGGGCAUCGCCAAAGAGGACGCCGCCCACGGCAUCGCCAACGAGGACGCCGCCCAGGGCAUCGCCAACGAGGACGCCGCCCACGGAAUCGCCAGUGAGGACGCCGCCCACGGCAUCGCCAGCGAGGACGCCGUCCAGGGCAUCGACAAGGAGGAUGCCGCCCAGGGCAUCGCCAACGAGGACGCCGCCCAGGGCAUCGCCAACGAGGACGCCGCCCAGGGCAUCGCCAAAGAGGACGCCGCCCACGGCAUCGCCAACGAGCUGUAUACGACAUCGCUAACGAGGACACCCUACAAGCCGUCGCUAACAAGUACACUGUACACAACAUCGCUAAUGAGGGCACUGUACAAGACAUCACCAAUGAGGGCGCUUUAUACGACAUUGCUAAUGGCACCGACAAGGCACGCUAACGUGGACGCUGUACACGACAUUGCUAAUGAGGACAGCGUAUAAGACAUCGCUAGUAACUAUCGCAAGAACAAAAAACCAAACACCGCAUAUUCUCACUCAUAGAUGGGAAUUGAACAAUGAGAUCACAUGGACACAGGAAGGGGAAUAUCACACUCUGGGGACUGUUGUGGGGUUGGGGGGGGAGGGAUAGCAUCGGGAGAUAUACCUAAUGCUAGAUGAUGAGUUAGUGGGUGCAGCGCACCAGCACGGCACAUGUAUACAUAUGUAACUAACCUGCACAAUGUGCACAUGUACCCUAAAACUUAAAGUAUAUAUAUAAAAAAAAAGACAUCGCUAGUGAGCACGCUGUAUACGACAUCGCUAAUGAGGACACCAUACAAGGCAUCGCUAACGAUGACGCUGUACACAACAUCACUAAUGAUGACACCGUAUAAGACAUCGCUAAUUAUGACGCUGUAUACGACAUCGCUAAUGACACCGUACAAGGCACGCUAACGAGGAUGCUGUACACGACAUCACUAAUGAGGACAGUGUACAAGCCAUCACUAAUGAGGACACUGUAUAUGGCAUCGCUAACGAGGACACUGUACAAGCCAUUGCUAACGAGGACGCUGUACACAACAUCGCUAAUGAGGACACCAUAUAAGACAUCACCAAUGAGGAUGCUGUAUAUGACAUCGCUAAUGGCACCCACAAGGCAUGCUAACGAGGACGCUGUAGACGACAUUGCUUAUAAGGACACCGUACAAGACAUCGCUAACGAGGACGCUGUAUACGACAUCGCUAAUGAGGACGUUGUAUAUGACAUCGCUAAUGAGGAUGCUUUACAAGACAUAGCUAAUGAGGUUGCUGUAUAUGACAUCGCUAAUGAGGACAUUGUAUAUGACAUCGCUAAUGAGGACGCUCUAUACGACAUCACUAAUGAGGACGCUGUAUACAACAUCGCUAAUGAGGACGCUGUAUAUGGCAUCGCUAAUGAGGAUGCUGUAUACGAAUUCGCUAAUAAGGACGCUGUAUAUGACAUUGCUAAUGAGGACACUGUACAAGACAUCUGUAAAAAAGAAGAUGCUGCCAAUGAGCCAUUGACACUGGAGAAUGAUACGUACCCUGAAAUAACUCACUUCCUGAGGAAAAAGCGCCAUCUCUAGGAUUUGAUUGUGGAGAGCAUAUCUGAUGAUGGGGAUUUGUAGGACUUUAAAAAGCACUCAUGUUUCCAUCCUCACUGUUGACUCCUGGCUUAAAGGGAUCUCCCGGGGUGAGUGAGGAGGCGGGAUCGGACCCUGGCAGUCUGACGGCAGCACCUGUGUUCCUCUGCACUGGGCCGUGGAUGACAUUACAUACCUUGCCACUCCCACGGUCCUGUGUGUUCCGGAUAUUUUAAAAUAAUGGCUAUAAGGUUGAGCACUUCAGGAUACGCUGUUUUGCUGUGUGCAGAUGGAGGCAGUGGCUGGAGUGAAUGAACGGCAACACUUGCUGGCAACCGGCAGAAGCUGAGAGACAGGGAACAGGCUCUCCUCCAGAGCCUCCAGGAGCCAGGCCUUUGGACAACUUGAAUGUGGGCUUCUGGGAGACCAUGCGUUUCUGUUAUAAGCAGCCCAGUCUCUGGCAGUUUUUACGGCUGCCCCGGAACACUCAUCUAUACCUGUCUGACAAGGUCAAGCUCCAAGGAAGGGACUCUCUACAUAUCUACAUUGUUUGCAGAUUUUACAAUAAUCAUUUAUUCUUGCAUGGCUGAUCAUUGUUAACCAAUACAAAUAAAAUAAUAAAGAAAUGACCCACA